rnacentral:lncRNA from 1 species
UCUAUGGCAAGGAAACAUAUGUGGGGUGAGGUGUAUGAGCCUCUGGUCGAUGAUAAAUGGCCACACAACCCCCAUUUUUGUCGAAAAUAGCCAUGAACGACCAUUUUCAAUAAUACCGAAGGCUAACACCAACGGAUUUUUGACCAAGAAAUGGUCCCCACCAGAAAUCCAAGAAUGUGAUCUAUGGCAAGAAAACAUAUGUGGGUUGAAGUGUACGAGCCUCUGGUCGAUGAUCAAUGGCCACACAAACCCCAUUUUUGUCGAAAAUAGCCAUGAACGACCAUUUUCAAUGACACUGAACGCUAACACCUACUGUUGGGGACUUGUUCUCAAAUGCUAUGAGUUAAGAACAAGGCAACACAAAAAAUGUUAAACGUUAAAGUCCUUCGUCCUUCGAAGCAUUAUUUCCCUUGGGGAUAUAAUGAUUUUCGGACGAAGGUUAUGAAGGACAUACCAUCAUAAACACGACAUAUAAUAAUGAAGAAGAAAACAUAUGAAAUAUAAAGGAUAACGAAGACAAUUAUAUAUUAUCAACUCAUUUCUAUAUUAUUAUUAUGGAAAAAUAGAAAUGAUAUCAAAUUACAAAUGUACCUUCGGCUUAAAAGAAGGUAAAAGUACAAGCAUGACGCAAAAGCAAAUGUCAAAUCAGCGUGAACAGUACGGGGGCACUGUUCACCUAUUUAUAGGCACGGGACACAGCCCAUAUAAGAUUACACCCAUGCCCUUUACAUUUGGUAGUAAUUCUAUAGUAAUCCACCGAGGUCUGAAUAGCCUUUUCAUCUUUAAGUCGGUUUCCUUUUCUGCUAUCACGCCGAAGCUUUCAUGCUCACAUCUUCGGCGCUGCAUCAACCUUCGUAUUAUUUGGGCUUCUCCUACUGUGAUGUCCGAAGAUAUCUGUUCACACAUUAUACUCCAAAAACACUUGUUAAAUCAUGUUUUUGAGGACCUUCGGAAGCCGAAGGCCCCCAACAGUAGCCCCUCGCAAUAUUAAUUUGUUAGAAUGAUAAAUUUAGAUUGCGACAUGGACGAAGGCCUUAAGCCGAAGGUCCGAAAAAACACCUUCCUUUUGCUAGAAUAGCAACAUUCACUGACAAGCGGGGUCUUUCAAUUUUCAAUGCACUGGGCGUAUAAAUAAGAGCAUACCGCGAGCUCAUUUGAUACGCUCUCUUGCCAUCUGCUCUUGCUUUCUCAAUUUUUAGCUCUUGCGCACCAAGACUUGCUUAGCUUUUUAAGUUUUUAAGCUUCGGCUUUGAAAACAGUUUUUUAGCGUUUUCGAAGAUGUCUGAAGAUAAGAAGGCUGCUGCCGAGAUGAAGCUGAGUCUCUCUGAAGAAAAGAACCUGGGGUUUCUUAUAGCAAUGUCGAAGACCAAUACAGAAAAAAUCACCAAAGAGAUUUUAGAAGGUUUAUCUGAAGAUACUGAUGACAAUGACAGUUAUGAUGUGGAUAGUGGUGGUGAAGACUUCGAAGAUCGCCCCUAGCGACCAAGCCAUGCGGUUUUUGGCAAAUCAAGUAUCAAAGAAAAUCAUCUUGUCAACAUGAGGGGAAGAUAUUUCCGGGACUUAUCCAUUGUGAGAGCCGACGAAGGAGAGAAGACUUGCCCGUCCCCUGAAGAAAAUGAAGUCGUAGUGUUCCGAAGCUUUUUGAAAGUUGGACUACGAUUUCCCCUGAGCAGCUUUGUCGUAGAGGUGCUGAAAACAUUUGAAGUCUAUCUUCACCAACUUACCCCCGAAGCAAUCAUAAGGAUGAAUAUCUUCGUGUGGGCUGCGAGAAGCCAAGGUCUGGAACCUGACGCAAAAAGUUUUUGCAACAUACACGAAUUGUUAUACGAAACAAAACCCUGGGGUAAGGAGCAGUAUCACAACAACUUUGGCUGCUAUAGCUUCGGCUCUCGCUCUAGGUCAAGCUGCCCAGUGCCGACCUUUCGCAAGAGGUGGCCUGGCGACUGGAUGACGGAAUGGUUUUAUGUGAAAAAUGAUUUGAACUCUCGAGAAGAUAUAAGGAAGGUCAUUAUGCGCCCCAUCUGGCAAAGCUUCGGCCUGCGAAGGCCGAAGGUGGAAAUGAACGAAGCAGCCGAUGAAUGCCAGAGAGCCUUCGGAGUUGUUUGCUCUUUUAUUGGAACGAGGGAUUUGGUCCAAGAGCAUAUUGCCUUCAGAGUAUGGCCGCUCACGGAAAAAUGGGAAAUGCCGCAAGAGACCAUAAAGGAGGCUGACGAAGGUGGACUUAUCAGGCUGAAGUAUACUUUCAAGUUCGGAGAUAAAUUCGUUGAGCCAGAUGAUGACUGGCUAAAAAACAUUGAAAAUGUAAGUGAUGAACUACUUGGGGCUUAUUCAAAGGCCGAAGAUACUGCAUUGUCGGCAGCCUUUGGAGGCCGGAAAAAGAAAAGACUGAACCGAGUGUUCGACGCAAUCGGGUUCGUCUACCCUGACUAUCGUUAUCCCAUUCGAGGGCAGAAAAGAAAAGGCACGACUUCUGCGAAAGAAGAAGCUGCAGCUGUUCCUAGUGAGCCAGCACCGAAAAGAGAAAGGAUAAAGGUCCUCACACAUCGGCCACACUAUAUUGAACCAGCUUCGGUGCCUGAGUUCACCGGAGAGACCUCUUCGGCCACCGAGGCUGAAGAGCCAACCUUGCUGCCAGAAGUCGCUGAAAUGGCCGAAGCGCCAACAACAACAGAAUUGGAGGAACCAAAGAUUUUAUUACCAGAAACCAGAGAGAUGGCCGAAGCGCCAUCGACAGAAAAGAUGGAAGAAGCAAAAGGAUCAACUGAGGGAUCAAAAAUAUCAGAAAUUUUAAGUCCUUCAGUAGAAAUUGAAGUAGCAGGAAUUAAGAAGGGGCCAAUAGUGACCCCAAAAAGAAAAAGAAUGGUCAAUGUGCUAGAUGUUCUGGAGACAAUUAAGUCCUCAAGCACAACUCCGAAGAAGACUGUUGAAACUUCCGAAGCGGAAACUAAAAUUUUUGAUACUCAAGCUCCAAAGCAACAAACUGAGGCUGAAGCUGGGCCUUCAGAGCCCACGAAGGUAAAAUCCUUGGAAACCGAGGAAGAAAAAAUGUCGGAGCCAAUUCUUGUUGAAGAAAUCAGUGCUGUUGCCCCCGAAGCAUCCCCCAAAGUUCUUGAUUAUAUUGUUCGACAUGCUUCGGGGAAAAAGUUGUCUGAAAAAGAAAAACAAGAGGCCCAAUUCUACGCCCAGAAACUGAAAUAUCCAAAAGGGGCGUUGAUAUUCAACGGCAGCGGAGAAGAAGACUUCUUGUAUUGUCUCCCUGACAGCAAGGAGAUUUCUGUCUGCCGGGAGAUGAGCAAGAGCUUCGGAUUCCCAACACUAGAAGACGGGCUCUCGGUGUUGUCGAAAAACGAGCUGGCCGACAGCUUGGCGUACAAUAGCUUAAAGGUGCAAAAAUGAAGUCUUUGCAUUUUUUCUUGAGACCAAAAUUUUUCGUUUGCUUAAAUUUAUUGACGCACACACAUUUUUUUGCAGGGCCUUAUACUUAGCAAUGCCCUCAGGGCUCAAAAAGAUGCAGAAGACGAAGGGUGUGUUAUAGCCCUAAGCAACCUUCGUUCCGAAGUAAUUGAACUAAGGAACGAAGGUCUCGAAAAAGAUAGAAUAUUACAUUCAUUGAUAAAUAGAAUAAAAGAAGACGAAGCUACAUUUAAAGGUCAAGCUGAGGCUCAGAAGCGUGAAAUUGAAGAUCUUCGAAAACAACUAGCCAGAGCUAGAGAGGAACGUAUACUUGAAGAAACGAAGCGAGAACUUAGCGACCAAUGGGCAAAUCAUUUAGAAGGAACUGUUGAAGAGCUUCGAUCGUCCAAGAAAAGAUGCUAUGUCAAAUCUAUGGAGUGUGUUAAGAAAAUGAAAGCUAGCUUCGCCAGCGUUGGCGCAUUCUCGAGCGAAGAAAACUUUACAAGAGGCAACCCUGAAGGUUCCAUCGAAUGGAUUAAUCACGAAGCUGAGGCAUUUGAGGAAAUUUUAAAUAGUCGCGGAGACAUAUGUGCUUUUUCGGGUGCCAGGGGGAUUGCCACCAUUUUGGAGAAAAAGGGCUGCGAGCAUGUAAAGAUUUUAGCGCAAACCGAAGCUACCUUGUCCUUCGAAGAUGCAAAAGAUCCUUCAGCCAAAGCUAGCAUGGUUGGUGGAAAAUUUUUCACCGAUGUCUGGGACAAUGGUGGUCGAGAAAUGGCUCGAGAAAUUAUCCAAAAAAGCGAAAAGGGCAUCCAUGAUGCUAGAAAAGUGGCAGAGGCUGCUGAGAAAAGCGCAGAGCCCGAAGGGCAAAUAGGUAUUAACUAAUGGUUUUUAUUGUGUUGUAAUUUUUGAUUUUAAACUUCGUUCGCAAUUUGUAAUAGCAAUGUAGCUUUAUCUUGUCCUCCCUCAGAUCCUACUAAAGCGUUUCCGGGCCCUCCCCCGAAAGAAGGCGACGAAAUUAAAAAGAUGGCUGAAGCUAUCAUGGAUCAAGUUGUUAAUCAACUCCUGAACAAAGCUGCGGAAGUUGUACUUAGGGAAGACUAAGUGUUAUUGUAAAAACUUCUGAAAUGUAAUAUGUGUGAUAUCUUGUAACUCUGAAUGUAAUAUACUUGUUUUUUAUGGUUCAAUUCUUUACGAUGCAUGAAAUUUUUCAUACGUACCUUUUUUGAGUCUUUGACGAAAAAACACCUUCCCUUCUUUUCAUGCUUCGUGAAGAAGAAUUUUCAUUUAUCACAACAAAAUACCCAUAGUGUUCUGAUGAAGAAUAUCCAAGCUUCGUGAAAAUAUUCUCCGAAGCUACAUUCCGAAGAUCAAUAUUGUAUCUCCUUGUGACUUAACAUGUUUUCCCUUUUUCAAAGCAUUCUUCCGAAGAUCGAUAUUGUGUCCCCUUCUUGUGCCAUAUGCAGCAUGAUGUAUGAUGCUUAUGCUAUGCGAAAUGAUAUGAUGAUGUUAUGCUAUGUAAAAUGGUAUUUAUUCCGAAGAUACACGCACAUCCGUGCGAUAAAACACACAAUCUUUUUAAAUCAGCGUUGACUUUUCGCUGUAAGCCUCCCUUAGGAGCUUCUUCGCCUUUUACUUCAGCGGAAUCAGCGUUUAUUUUUCGCUGUAAGCCUCCCUUAGGACUUCUUCGCCUUUUACUUUCGGCGGUAUUCGCGUUGACUUUUCGCGCUUCACCUUUUACUUAGGCGGUAUCAGCGUUUAUUUUUCGUUGUAAGCUCUGCAUUCCCUUUGGAACGACUUUGGAGCAGAAAACUUACACUGCGCUCCCUUUGGAACGGCUUUUUGUAACUUCAGCAAACUUACUCUGCGUUCCUUAGAACGACUUUUUGUUGCUUCGAAGAAUUCAUACCGUGCCUUUUAAAAUAAAUUUUUGAUAAUUCGAAGGUCCUCCUUGCUAUCGCAAAUCUUUAAGCUCCAACAGCUUAAGCCUGUGGGGAAGAUAUAUUUUCCUUGUGGCAAACAAUGAAACUAUUACAUGAGAUCUAAAAAGUGUCCUUUAUUACACAGAAAAUAAAACUGAAUGGAAAAGACUACUAUCAAGGUAGGAUAUUUGUCAAUAAAUGUGCUUCGACUCAGGCACAGUGCUAUUGACUGUGCGAGCUUCGGACUGUUCUCUGAAGUCCCUUUGUUGUUGAGCAUAUUUCCCCCCUUCUGGCUACUGGCCUUGUUGCAUCGGUGGUGGAGGCGGAGGCUGUUGCCAGGAAGCUUGAGGUUGACUCGCCGAAGCAACAGAAACUGCAGGGUGGUUGCCUACAUAUUCUGAGAUAUAAGGCGAAUGAUACGAAGCAGUGUGCAUGACCUGCUUCGGCUGACCCUGUUGUGCUGCAGCUUCGGCUAUCUCCUUUUGCUUCUGGAUGGUAACAUGGCACAUCCUGGUGGUAUGGCCCUUGUUUUCACCACAGAACAAGCAAAAUAUUCUCCUUGGUUGAUCUCCAAAUCUUCCGCCGAAGCCCCUGGCGCCUCUGCCUCUUGGAGCUGGCGGCCGGAAGGAGCUUUGCUGUUGCCCCAAAGCCUGUGAGGAGCACUGUGGCCUUUGCUGCUGACUCCCCUUGUCAUCAUUUUGAUUAGAGUUGUGAAUUGACCUAACAUGCCUCGGAUAAAAUCUUCCUCCGAAGCCCCUAGUCAUUUCGGAAAACCUGAAAGCCUCCUCCCUUCUUUGACGAAAAUCAUUGUCGGCACGAAUAUACUCGUCCAUCUUCUGGAGCAGCUUCUCCAAAGUUUGAGGAGGCUUCCUGGCAAAGUACUGAGCUGAAGGUCCUGGCCGAAGUCCCUUGAUCAUGUCCUCAAUGACAAUUUCGUUGGGCACUGUUGGUGCCUGUGCCCUCAAACGCAAGAACCUCCGGACAUACGCCUGAAGGUAUUCUUUGUGAUCCUGGGUGCACUGGAAUAGAGCUUGAGCAGUGACCGGCUUCGUCUGAAACCCUUGGAAGCUGGUUAACAACAUGUCCUUCAGCUUUUGCCAUGAAGUGAUCGUUCCUGGUCGAAGAGAGGAAUACCAGGUUUGAGCAACACUCCUGACAGCCAUAACAAAAGAUUUUGCCAUGACUGCAGUAUUGCCACCAUACGAAGAUACUGUUGCUUCGUAGCUCAUCAAAAACUGCUUCGGGUCUGAAUGGCCGUCGAAUAUGGGAAGCUGAGGCGGCUUGUAGGACGGAGGCCAAGGUGUAGCCUGCAACUCAGCAGACAGAGGAGAAGCAUCAUCAAAAGCGAAAUUUCCAUGAUGGAAAUUCUCAUACCAGUCAUCUUCGUUGAAGAAAUCCUCCUGAUGAAGGUCCUUAUGCUGAGGCCUUCGGUUCUGCUCAUCCUGAGUAAGAUGAUGAACUUCUUCAGAGGCUUCGUCUAUCUGCCUUUGCAGUUCAGCUAGCCUGGCCAUCUUUUCCUUCUUCCUCUGCACCUGUUAAUGAAGCAUCUCCAUGUCUCUGAUUUCUUGGUCUAGCUCGUCCUCUGGCGGUGUCGGGCUGACAGCCUUCCUCUUCUGGCUUCGGGCCUCCCGAAGGGAGAGAGUCUCCUGAUUGGGGUCCAGCGGUUGCAGAGCUGCAGCCCCAGCUGCUGAAGCUUUCUUCGGCGCCAUAGUGAAGGUUUAUGAUUGCCGAAGGUGUUCAAAACUCAAAGAGUGGAAGUGAGUUCACCGGAGGUGGGCGCCAAUGUUGGGGACUUGUUCUUAAAUGCUAUGAGUUAAGAACAAGGCAACACAAAAAAUGUUAAACGUUAAAGUCCUUCGUCCUUCGAAGCAUUAUUUCCCUUGGGGAUAUAAUGAUUUUCGGACGAAGGUUAUGAAGGACAUACCUUCAUAAACACGACAUAUAAUAAUGAAGAAGAAAACAUAUGAAAUAUAAAGGAUAACGAAGACAAUUAUAUAUUAUCAACUCAUUUCUAUAUUAUUAUUAUGGAAAAAUAGAAAUGAUAUCAAAUUACAAAUGUACCUUCGGCUUAAAAGAAGGUAAAAGUACAAGCGUGACGCAAAAGCAAAAGUCAAAUCAGCGUGAACAGUACGGGGGCACUGUUCACCUAUUUAUAGGCACGGGACACAGCCCAUAUAAGAUUACACCCAUGCCCUUUACAUUUGGUAGUAAUUCUAUAGUAAUCCACCGAGGUCUGAAUAGCCUUUUCAUCUUUAAGUCGGUUUCCUUUUUUGCUAUCACGCCGAAGCUUUCCUGCUCACAUCUUCGGCGCUGCAUCAACCUUCGUAUUAUUUGGGCUUCUCCUACUGUGAUGUCCGAAGAUACCUGUUCACACAUUAUACUCCAGAAACACUUGUUAAAUCAUGUUUUUGAGGACCUUCGGAAGCCGAAGGCCCGCAACACCUACGGAUUUUUGACCAAGAAAUGGUCUCCACCAUAAAUCCAAGAAUGUGAUCUAUGGAAAGGAAACAUGUGUAGUGAGGUGUAUGAGCCUUUGGUCGAAUAUCAAUGGCCACACAACCCCCAUUUUUGUCGAAAAUAGCCAUGAACGACCAUUUUCAAUAGUACCAAAGGCUAAAACAUUCAGAUUUUUGACCAAGAAAUGGUCUCCACCAGAAAUCAAAGAAUGUGAUCU